rnacentral:rRNA from 1 species
CGGGUGAGUAACGCGUAGGAAUCUGUCCUUGGGUGGGGGAUAACAGUGGGAAACUACUGCUAAUACCGCAUGACAACUGAGGUUUAAAGGCGCGAGUCGCCUGAGGAGGAGCCUGCGUUCGAUUAGCUUGUUGGUGGGGUAAAGGCCUACCAAGGCGACGAUCGAUAGCUGGUCUGAGAGGAUGAUCAGCCACACUGGGACUGAGACACGGCCCAGACUCCUACGGGAGGCAGCAGUGGGGAAUAUUGGACAAUGGGCGCAAGCCUGAUCCAGCAAUGCCGCGUGGGUGAAGAAGGUUUUCGGAUUGUAAAGCCCUUUUGGCAGGGACGAUGAUGACGGUACCUGCAGAAUAAGCCCCGGCUAACUUCGUGCCAGCAGCCGCGGUAAUACGAAGGGGGCUAGCGUUGCUCGGAAUGACUGGGCGUAAAGGGCGCGUAGGCGGCGAUCAAAGUCAGGCGUGAAAUUCCUGGGCUCAACCUGGGGGCUGCGCUUGAUACUUGGUUGCUUGAGUGGGGAAGAGGGUUGUGGAAUUCCCAGUGUAGAGGUGAAAUUCGUAGAUAUUGGGAAGAACACCGGUGGCGAAGGCGGCAACCUGGUCCUUGACUGACGCUGAGGCGCGAAAGCGUGGG